AAAUUGAUUCCGUGUUUAGUGGCACAGCACGGGGCUAAACGCAUCUCCCCGACUGCGCAUCGGCAUCCAUCUCCAGUUAUCCACCGCCGCGCUCGCUUGCACAACACCAGCGCCGCCAGCGCAACCUCCCUCGCGCCGCUCACCCCCGUCCCUCGCUUGUCCGGCUAUCCUGUGGCGCACGGCGACCGUCGGCGGCCCGCCCGUCCGCCUCACCGUCGGCGGCCGUCCGACCGUCUCUCCUGUGGCGCUCGGCGCCUGUCCCUGGCCCGUCCCCCACACAGCCGAUGGCGACUCCGCCGUCCUCCACACGGCCGUCAACAAAGACUACACGACGCCGCGACAACGUAGAAGCUCCUCCCUUAGCAGAUGCGUUCUUCCUCUGCGCCACCUGUGUGGAACAGUUCGUGCGCCCAGUGCCGCCGAUUCGAUGGUCUGCAGAUGUUUGAUCUAAGAUGCCCGACUGUACUACAUGUACAUGGAAGAAGAAAGCUCAAUGAACCGAAGCUGGGGAAAAGGAAUAACCAAGGAGGGGAGGGGAGGUCACAUCCUUGAAGCCAACGGCAAAUUAAGGCAUCACCUUGAAUUUGUAACUCCAGUAACUAAAUGGAGAUCCUUUUUUAGGUCGAACUUGUGAUCCUUCUUAUUACUGAAACCAAGUAUCAAUCUGAGAAUGAUUGUUCUCUUAUUGUGGUCUGACAAGACUUAAAUGUUGGUAUAACCUGAACAGUGUCUUAUUGCAUUAGUUUUUUUUA